GGGCCCGUAGCUCAGCUUGGCAGAGCGUUCGAGCGGUGACCGAAAGGUCGUGGGUUCGAAUCCCACCGGGCCCA
rnacentral:tRNA from 1 species